rnacentral:misc_RNA from 1 species
GAUGAAGAACGCAGUGAAAUGCGAUAAGUAAUGUGAAUUGCAGAAUUCAGUGAAUCAUCGAAUCUUUGAACGCACCUUGCGCCCUUUGGCCAUUCCGAAGGGCAUGCCUGUUUGAGUAUCAUGAACACCUCAACUCUUCAUGGUUUUCCAUGAUGAGCUUGGACUCUGGGGGUCUUGCUGGCUUUACGGUCAGCUCCUCUCAAAUAAAUCAGCUUGCCGGUGUUUGGUGGGAUCACAGGUGUGAUAACUAUCUACGCUUGUGGUUUUCCGCCAGGUAACCUUCAGCAAUGGAGGUUCGCUGGAGCUCAUAAAUGUCUCUCCUCAGCGAGGACAGAUUUUGACCGUUUGAUCUCAAAUCAGGUAGGACUACCCGCUGAACUUAAGCAUAUCAAUAAGCGGAGGA